UAGGGAAUCUUCCACAAUGGACGCAAGUCUGAUGGAGCAACGCCGCGUGAGUGAAGAAGGUUUUCGGACCGUAAAGCUCUGUUGUUGGUGAAGAAGGAUAGAGGUAGUAACUGGCCUUUAUUUGACGGUAAUCAACCAGAAAGUCACGGCUAACUACGUGCCAGCAGCCGCGGUAAUACGUAGGUGGCAAGCGUUGUCCGGAUUUAUUGGGCAUAAAGCGAGCGCAGGCGGAAGAAUAAGUCUGAUGUGAAAGCCCUCGGCUUAACCGAGGAAUUGCAUCGGAAACUGUUUUUCUUGAGUGCAGAAGAGGAGAGUAGAACUCCA
rnacentral:rRNA from 1 species